rnacentral:rRNA from 1 species
GACGAACGCUGGCGGCGUGCUUAACACAUGCAAGUCGAACGGAAAGGCCCUGCUUUUGUGGGGUGCUCGAGUGGCGAACGGGUGAGUAACACGUGAGUAACCUGCCCUUGACUUUGGGAUAACUUCAGGAAACUGGGGCUAAUACCGGAUAGGAGCUCCUGCUGCAUUGUGGGGGUUGGAAAGUUUCGGCGGUUGGGGAUGGACUCGCGGCUUAUCAGCUUGUUGGUGGGGUAGUGGCUUACCAAGGCUUUGACGGGUAGCCGGCCUGAGAGGGUGACCGGCCACAUUGGGACUGAGAUACGGACCAGACUCCUACGGGAGGCAGCAGUGGGGAAUAUUGCACAAUGGGAGGAAGCCUGAUGCAGCAACGCCGCGUGCGGGAUGACGGCCUUCGGGUUGUAAACCGCUUUCGCCUGUGACGAAGCGUGAGUGACGGUAAUGGGUAAAGAAGCACCGGCUAACUACGUG